GCCCCCGUCGUCUAGCGGUCUAGGACAUCGCCCUCUCACGGCGAAGGUCGCGGGUUCGAAUCCCGUCGGGGGUACCA
rnacentral:tRNA from 1 species